CAUCUCUCUCUCUAUUUCUCCCGAUUAGGGUUUCGCGGCUCCAUUUUCAAAGCAUCCGAAAAAGAUCGACCAUGUAAAAGUGUUCACAUCACACCAGCAAUUGAGGCCCAAAUUUGAAGUUUGAAUUCGCGAAGAAGAAUGGAGGUGGCCCAAAUUGUGGUAUCUGGAUCCAGUCCGGCCUGUUAACGCUUUCGGUUUCCGCAUCUCUUUUUGUUCUUCGUCUCCCUCGUGAAGCUUUGCACAUCCCCACAUACCAGCAAGUGCAGCGCCGCUUCUUCCGGCCGCCGUCUCAGCUGUUACCGUCGCCGCACAUUGCACUCUCAUCUUUCGACGAAAUAUCCGCCGCCCUCCCUCUCACAAAAUCUCUCGCCCUUCGAGCUAUCAGAGUUGCUUCUCUCUGUUCUUCUUUCUCUCGGAAACACGGUGGUUCAGAACCUUGCUGUUGUUGAUAUUGGCCGCCGACGUUCAUCUUUCAGAUCCUCAAGAUGACUAGGUAGCUGUCUGAUUGUUGCAAAACCACUACAUCGAUUCUUUUAGUGGUGCCCCGUUAAUAUGGCAAUCUCAGUUUCGAGAAGGCUGCUGCGCUCUGUGGGGUCCUUAUCAACGUUUGGACAAUGUAAUUCUUCAUGUACUAUGAGUCGGUCAUUUUCUAAUCCCCAUGAAAUUUAUGGCCAUGUUAGUGGGAGUAGCUCUACGUUUGCAAGCCGUUCUACUCUUUUGAAGGCUGGAUCCUUUCUUGCUUCCCGAGGGUUUUGCACCUCAAUUUUGACUCCUGAAUCAAGCAAUAAUGCAUUUCCUUCUGAGUUACUGUCUGCUAAGCCGGUGGCAUCCGAAGAGCGCAAGAUAGGGCUUUAUCAGGACCUGAUGAUUCCUGUGACAAACUUUGAAAAUGAAGACAAAGGCUUCAUGGUCUUGGCUGGAGAUGUUUUUGACCUUCCAAUCAGGAAGGACAUCAUUCAUCGGGUUGUUAGAUGGCAGCUUGCAAAGAGACAGCAGGGAACACAUUCGACAAAAACAAUUAGUGAGGUUAGCGGAACAGGGAGAAAGCCAUGGAAACAAAAAGGUACUGGGAGAGCAAGACAUGGAACAUUGCGUGGUCCCCAGUUCAGAGGUGGUGCAACUAUGCAUGGACCCAAACCACGAAGUCAUGCCUUUAAGCUUAAUAAGAAAGUUCGUCGCUUGGGUUUGAUGAUUGCUCUUUCAGCUCGUGUUGCAGAAGGAAAGUUGCUUCUGAAACCUCAUUUUGGGAAGUUUUUAACUUGCAGCUUCUGGUAUUUGAUAAUUUGGACGUCACUACGCAUAAGACGAAGAAUAUGGUGAAAUAUGUCAGUAAAAUGGAGAAUACCAAAAAAGUAUUACUAGUUGAUGGUGGUCCCAUAGAUGAGAAGCUGAAGUUGGCCACGCAAAACCUUCAUUAUGUCAACGUUUUGCCAUCUAUUGGUUUGAAUGUUUACAGCAUUCUUCUACACGAUACUCUUGUGAUGUCUCGUGAUGCUGUAGAAAGAAUUGUUACCCGGAUGCACACUCCAAUCAACCGCUGAAGCCGCAGUGCAUUUCUCCUGAAUUAUAUGUUCAACUUCAGUUUUAGCUCAGAUCAGCAAUAACCUUUAUUGAUGUUUCCCCCCUUUUGUUGCAGGAAGGGGUGAAAACCUGUUUGUUGUUUCCGUUAAAAUAUUGAUCACACUGGAGUUUGAAAUUUCACUUGUACUGAUCAAAGACAUCAGAUAGUAAGUUUUGAAGCUGUAGUUUGUGGUGUUCGAAAAUAACAAAAAGAACCUUUCUUACUGCCAGAUUGUCAAGUUCUGCAAAUUUUUCUUUUACAAAUCAAAAUUUUUCUGUUUUGAUUC